GAUGAAGAACGUAGCAAAAUGCGAUAAGUAAUGUGAAUUGCAGAAUUCAGUGAAUCAUCGAAUCUUUGAACGCACAUUGCGCCCGCUGGUAUUCCGGCGGGCAUGCCUGUUCGAGCGUCAUUUCAACCCUCAAGCCCCCGGGUUUGGUGUUGGGGAUCGGCUCUGCCCUCCUGGGCGGUGCCGCCCCCGAAAUACAUUGGCGGUCUCGCUGCAGCCUCCAUUGCGUAGUAGCUAACACCUCGCAACUGGAACGCGGCGCGGCCAUGCCGUAAAACCCCAACUUCUGAAUGUUGACCUCGGAUCAGGUAGGAAUACCCGCUGAACUUAAGCAUAUCAAUAAGCGGAGGA
rnacentral:misc_RNA from 1 species